rnacentral:lncRNA from 1 species
UAGCGAAUGAAUAAGCAUGGUAUGAAUAGGUACAUAACGGAUAAUAAUCUCAUCUAGUUAUAUUAGUCAUAACAUAACAUAUACAGGAGUCUGUAAAAUGAGAAUUGGGAUAUAUAUAAUUAAAGGAUAUUAGGUAUAUAAACAAAACAUUUAUCUGAGGUAUAUGAGGUUAGGAGGGCAUUUUUAACUAAUUUUGUCGCCUAUUAUUAUAGGAGUGCAAACAUAAAUGUGCAUUGAGAGGUGGGUAUUAUUCAUU